rnacentral:rRNA from 1 species
CACACCGCCCAUCACACCAUAGGAGUGGGUUUCACCAGAAGUAGGUAGUCUAACCGCAAGGAGGACGCUUACCACGGUGAGAUUCAUGACUGGGGUG